rnacentral:rRNA from 1 species
CCUACGGGUGGCAGCAGUGGGGAAUAUUGCGCAAUGGGCGAAAGCCUGACGCAGCGACGCCGCGUGAGGGAUGAAGGUCUUCGGAUCGUAAACCUCUGUCAGCAGGGAAGAACGGUCACUGUGCUAAGCAGCAGUGAAUUGACGGUACCGGCAAAGGAAGCACCGGCUAACUCCGUGCCAGCAGCCGCGGUAAGACGGAGGGUGCGAGCGUUACUCGGACUUACUGGGCGUAAAGCGCUCGUAGGCGGUAUGUCAAGUCCAGGGGGAAAUCCCCGCGCUCAACGUGGGAACUGCCUUUGAAACUGGCAAACUGGAGUGUGUGAGAGGCUAGUGGAAUUCCAGUUGUAGGCG